GCGCGGCCCCGGGAGACGGGGAGCAGCGCCUCUGUUUCCUCCUGCCGCAGCUGCAGAGCGGGCCAAGCCGCGCUCGGGUUACCUUCCCCUCCACCGCUGGACGCUCGCGGGAGCCGGCCGCGCGGUGCUAGAGGAGAUGCAGCGGCUACAGCAGGAAGAAUUGGAAAAACCUGAGUUAUGAGAGAAAAUGACUGUUGGACCAUCAUCCAUGUUGGUAACAUUGUUUUUGAACUAUUCUGGACAGGAAAAUAGGACUACAAAAUACCUUCCUGAUUCUUGUUAAAAUCAAGCAAAGUGGGCUGUUGUCUGGAGAUGCCGAAAUGCCACUGUGAUAAGUAAGGUUUAAUAACUUAAAUAGAAUGGUGUUAGAAUUACAUUAUGAAGAUAAGAUUCUCUUUCAGAAUUUCUGUACAACAUUUGUCUUGUAUCUGAUAACAUUUAAAAUGUAUCUAUAAUUUGUACUAGUAGUGCCUAGAGGCCCCAAACAAGAUUGUGACCACAUUGUACUAGGUACACAGCUUUACAAAGAGUCCCCAGAAGCUUAUUUCUAUCAUAAGUACAUGUCUCAGGAUACGGGUUUCAUAGUUUGUGUGUGGCCUUUGAUUAAAGUAUAAGUAACUAGCCUAGUUUAAACAGCAAAAAAAAAAAAAAAAAACACACAUUAAGGAUGUAAAUUUGAAAA